rnacentral:rRNA from 1 species
AACGAACGCUGGCGGCAUGCCUAACACAUGCAAGUCGAACGAGACCUUCGGGUCUAGUGGCGCACUGGUGCGUAACGCGUGGGAACCUGCCCUUAGGUUCGGAAUAACUCCCCGAAUGGGGUGCUAAUACCGGAUAAUGUCUUCGGACCAAAGUUUUGUCGCCUUUGGAUGGGCCGGCGUUGGAUUACCUAGUUUGUAGGGUAAAAGCCUAUCAAUGCGACGAUCGAUAGCUGGUCUGAGAGGAUGAUCUGCGACACUGGUACUGAGCCACGGUCCAGACUAUUGCAGGAGGCAGCAGUGCGGAAUAUUGGCAAGUGGGCGAAGGCCUGAUCCAGCAAUGACGCGUGAGCGCUGAAGGCCUUAGGGUUGUAAAGCUCUUUUACACGGGAUGAUAAUGACAUUACCGAGAGAAUAAGCUCCGGCUAACUCCGUG